rnacentral:rRNA from 1 species
AUUGAACGCUGGCGGCAUGCUUUACACAUGCAAGUCGAACGGCAGCGCGGGCUUCGGCCUGGCGGCGAGUGGCGAACGGGUGAGUAAUACAUCGGAACGUGCCCAGUAGUGGGGGAUAGCUCGGCGAAAGCCGGAUUAAUACCGCAUACGACCUGAGGGUGAAAGCGGGGGAUCUUCGGACCUCGCGCUAUUGGAGCGGCCGAUGGCAGAUUAGCUAGUUGGUGGGGUAAAGGCCUACCAAGGCGACGAUCUGUAGCUGGUCUGAGAGGACGACCAGCCACACUGGGACUGAGACACGGCCCAGACUCCUACGGGAGGCAGCAGUGGGGAAUUUUGGACAAUGGGCGAAAGCCUGAUCCAGCAAUGCCGCGUGUGUGAUGAAGGCCUUCGGGUUGUAAAGCACUUUUGGCGGGAACGAAAAGGACUGUGCCAAUACCACGGUUCGAUGAUGGUACCCGCAGAAUAAGCACCGGCUAACUACGUG